AGACAACACUGGCCGGAACUCUGAUGUAAAUGUUGUAGUGUGAAUUUUCAAGAUGAAGGCUAAUCAUUUGUGUUUAUUAUAGCGUAUUUUCACGUUCGUAGAUUGUAUUUUGGCAAGACAGAGAAACGACAAUGCCUGAUCGCAUAACCGUAAAGCGUUUUAUUGAAGAAACACGAGCUGAUCUCUCUUCGCCAGUCACGUCAAAUUUUGCUGAACAUUCGACACUAAAUUCAUGCCGAGCGUCGAUUACGAGCCUAGAAGAGGUAACAUUCACUGAAUACUGAAUAUUUAAACAGUUAGACACGAGGGAAUUUGACUUAUUGCAACAAGAUUUCACUUUACGCGGAUGUUUUUCAACCAC